GUCUAUGGCCAUGCACCCUGAACGAGCCCAAUGUCUAUUCUCAGAAGCUAAGCAGGGUCAGGCCUGGUUAGUACUUGGAUGGGAGACCACCUAGGAAGACCAAGUGCUGUAGGUA
rnacentral:rRNA from 1 species